rnacentral:rRNA from 1 species
UGGGGAAUCUUGGCCAAUGGACGAAAGUCUGAGCCAGCGACACCGCGUGGGGGAUGAAGGCCUUCGGGUUGUAAACCUCUUUUCUGGGGAAAGAAUAAGGACGGGAGGAAAUGCCCGCCCGAUGACGGUACUCCAGGAAUAAGCAUCGGCUAACUCUGUGCCAGCAGCCGCGGUAAGACAGAGGAUGCAAGCGUUAUCCGGAAUUACUGGGCGUAAAGGGCGUCUAGGCGGGUGAGCAAGUCACUUGUGAAAUCCCUCGGCUCAACCGAGGAGAGUCUCGUGAUACUGCUCGUCUUGGGUGUAGGAGAGGAGAGUGGAACUCACAGAGUAGCGGUGGAAUGCGUAGAUACUGUGAGGUACCCCGAUGGCGAAGGCAACUCUCUGGCCUACUACCGACGCUGAAGCGCGAAAGCGUGGGGAGCAAAGGGG